rnacentral:misc_RNA from 1 species
AAGUCGUAACAAGGUUUCCGUAGGUGAACCUGCGGAAGGAUCAUUAAUGAAUAAAUUUGGUCGAGCUGUUGCUGGCCCUUCGGGGCAUGUGCACGCUUGCCACCAAUUUUAUAACCACCUGUGCACCUUUGUAGACUAGAAACAAUUCUCGAGGCAACUCGGAUUGAGAACUGCGGUGUUCAAAGCCAGCUGUUCUUGUGUUUCUCAGUCUAUGUUUUCAUAUACUCCAUUGUAUGUAUCAGAAUGUAUUGUUAGGCCUUUAGUGCCUUUAAAUCAAAUACAACUUUCAACAACGGAUCUCUUGGCUCUC